rnacentral:rRNA from 1 species
AAAUUGAAGAGUUUGAUCAUGGCUCAGAUUGAACGCUGGCGGCAGGCUUAACACAUGCAAGUCGAACGGUAACAGGAAGCAGCUUGCUGCUUUGCUGACGAGUGGCGGACGGGUGAGUAAUGUCUGGGAAACUGCCUGAUGGAGGGGGAUAACUACUGGAAACGGUGGCUAAUACCGCAUAACGUCGCAAGACCAAAGAGGGGG